rnacentral:lncRNA from 1 species
AUAUAUAUAUAUAUAUAUUUGAAAAUUAGCCGGAAACCCUGUCUCUACUAAAAAUACAAAAAUUAGCCAGAUGUGUUGGUGGGUGCCUGUAAUCCCAGCUAAUCUGGAGGCUGAGACACGAGAAUCGCUUGAACCCGGGAGGUGGAGGUUGCCNNNNNNNNNNCUUGGUCAGGUUGGCAAAUUAUAUGUUUUUCUGGCAAGUUUCUGUGAAGCAGAGUUAAACAUGUUUAUGAAUAUGAACUUUUCUGUUAAACUACCGCCUGCUUCAUCUUAGCUGAGUUUCAGGUGGAAUGUCUAAGGAAGCUCCAGCCGUUUCAGCAUUUGCUAAAGCGUGUUCAUGCUGCCACUGAAUUUUCUUAGUCUUGCCUUACAUCUCUCAGGGUCUGGAACU